UUUUUUUUUUUUUUUCCGUGCAAAAUUAUAUUUGUAAUUAUUUUAAUAAAGGAUGUAAAAGUUGCAACAAUUGGAAUUGUAUAGUAGAAUUAGACUUGGCAAUCUAAAAUAUAAUAUUGAAUAUCAAAAAUACAUAGCAAAAAUCAUACAUAUAGAAAGCAUUUCAUUAGUAAAGUUGGAAGACUAUAGAUAAUAAACAUUUCUAACCUUUUUUUUUUUUAGAAGCAUGGCUUGUAUUCAACAUUUUUUUGUGCCUCAAAGUCUUAAAUAUAUUUGGUUACACAUUAGCCCCAUGAUGUUUAAAAACACAUCAAAGAACAUCUUACUUAAUAUACAUGUGAUUGGAACCAACAAGAAUUGUAAUUAAAAUUUCUCAUUGUUAGCCAACAAAGGCUGUAAUAAGGUGAUCAUAUCAUUCAUGUGAAAGCAUCUCCAAUUUGUUAGGAUUUCCAUAUUCAUCCUUUCAAGCAUCACCAAGUGUAGUAAAGCCUUUGUGUUCCAGAAAAGUAAGAACUGACGUAUAAAGACUAAUGGGUUUCUGGAAAACGAAAAUAAAUUAUAUUCUUCGGUUUACAUUGUAUUCGUCUACCUUAUUUCAAAUGUAAGAUAAAUUGCUAGUCAAUUCGGUGUACAACUGCAAGCUUAAAGCACACCAUCUUCUAAUUACUCAAACUAAGCCAUUUCAUCCCAACUCAAACAUCUGUCGUAGUGUAGACUUGAUAUAGCAGACUAAUAUCAUUAUUUAUUUAGCUUGAAAUUGUAAGUGAUAAAAGAAACAUACGAGCAAAGUCAUAAUGCGCAUUGAAAUGCUGAAAAGGUUGCUGGGAAGACAUCUAUGCAACAGUUUGUGGGUGCUGCCCAGUGUUACAGGCUGUAGUUGUCGAAUAAAACGAGAUAAACAAUGUGAGAAAAGAUUAGGCAGAUUUUGAAGAAGAAGCGGGCUUUAAGACAUAAUAAAACUAGUCACCAAAUUGAGAACUGGAGCAUGAAUCUAAGUGGCAACUAGAAAGAGGGAGAAACGAUUAAACACAGGUACUGUUGUUCAACUUCUUUGAAGACCAGUCCGGAUCCGCUUGGAAGCAACAACAACCAAAAACAGCAACAGUAAUCCACUUCCUCGAGAUUAAGCUUCCAACUGUUCCUUAAGGCAGAUCAUACAUAGGGAAUCAAAAUUAUAACAAGUUCAAUUUUAAGUUUCCCCCUUUCCAAUCAUAAAAGAAAAAUUGUCACUCUAGAAUUUGAAAUUAUAUAAGAUUCUCCUACCCAAGUUCAAAUCCCUGCAGUCUAGUUCAGUUCGUGCCUCAUCCUGAGGAACGAGGCAUCCACGGGUUAAACCUACAGCUGAAGCUCUUCCUCAUCUCGAAGCUCUUGUCGUCCCUUUCCCUUGCAAGUAGCAUCGUCCGACAAUACUGGAAACUGCAACCCGCAUAUCAAAACACGGAGAAAGCAGAUGUUCUAGGUUUUUCCAACAAUACCCUACAAUCUCUACGGAAGUAAGAUCAACAAAUUAGAGAAGGCCCACGUACGACAAAAUAUCAAGAAUGAUCUAAAUAGAAAACAAUGCAGCUCUUCACCUGUAGAGUGUGCAAGAUUAAGCGGCUUGUGUGGUCGAAGAGCAUCCUAAUCAGAAGACUCCUACGUAUUACAUCAGCAUGAUUUUAGGUAUUGUAUUACCGACUGGUUCACGAAGGGAAAGCACAUGGUCAUCGAUUGAAGAGAGGCCUACCUUCAAGAUCACAGUGCAUUCACUUGUCCACCUUCUCGAGCUCCUUCUUGAGCUGCAAGGAGAAGUCAUCCGUGACAUCGUCGUCAUCCCAAUCGUCCUCCCAUUGUUGCAAGGCGCCUUUCCCCUCGUCUUCGUCGUCCCACACCUCGUUCUCGAACUCC
rnacentral:lncRNA from 1 species